GGAAAAAAAACAAUAAAGACGAAAGAAUUCGCUAGACGGUCUCCAGACCCUCUAGAGAACUCUGGCUCCACUUGCAGGUUGAAUACAGGUACUGCAUUCAACCAAGCAAGUCAAUGGAACCCAGCUUUCUAAUCACUAUGUGAUUAGUAAAAUAUUCAAAAAAAAUAAAAAAUGGAAAAAAAAAUAAAAAAAAAAUGUGCUAACAUUUACAAAUAAUUAUGCAGUGAUGUCACUAGAUGAACCAUCCAGUACAUUGCAAAAUGUGUAAAAAAAAAAAUAUAAAAAAGUAUUAAAAAAAUAAAAUAAAAAAAUAAAGUUUAUUAUUUUGAGCAAGUGCUAAAAUUUCUCAAAAAUCUCAACAAAGAGUUAAAAUAAAAGCACUUUAAAUACCCAAGGGGUGUCUAAUAUAUAAAAAAAAUGGCUGAUGGGGUAAAUUGGAGUGGCUGAGCUCAAAGAUAGGGCAUAGACUGACCAAAAUGGAGAAAAAAAGCGCACUUCCCAAAUGUGGCAUUUUAAAUCUCAAACAACCCGACAAACCCAUGCAUGUCGGGUAUCACUGCACUCAGGAGAUGUUCCUGAACACAUAUUGGGGGGUUGUUUGACAGUGACAUAUACCAGAACCUGUAUAUCUAUAACUAAAGUACAAUUUGUGUGAAAAAAAAAUAAAAAAAAAUACUAUUACAAA